UACGAAGGGGGCUAGCGUUGCUCGGAAUUACUGGGCGUAAAGCGCACGUAGGCGGCUUUCUAAGUCGGGGGUGAAAUCCUGGAGCUCAACUCCAGAACUGCCUUCGAUACUGGAGAGCUUGAAUCCGGGAGAGGUGGAGUGGAAUUCCGAGUGUAGAGGUGAAAUUCGUAGAUAUUCGGAAGAACACCAGUGGCGAAGGCGGACUCACUGGACCGGUAUUGACGCUGAGGUGCGGAAAGCGA
rnacentral:rRNA from 1 species